UUUCGAGAGUGACUGUAUUCAUAAGCACCUGAUGUAAUCCAGCUCUCAACUGUGGAAAGGAUAGUUCAUAGAUAAAGUUGGUGUGACUUCUUCAAAAUUCUUGUUGCUACUAGCUCCUCACUCCAUCGGCGCUUUAUGCACUAUUCAUCCGAGGAUCAUCACAAGGAUGGAUUCAAAGGGAAAAUGCUGUUUGCUGCUGGUACUUCUCGUAGGGGUGCUCAUUCACGCGUCAGGCGCGUCUGGGAGGCGAGAUCAAGACAGACCAUUUGAUGGAAUCAGCGAAAGGCACGAAAGAGGUGCUUGCCGCAGAAAGAAAGAUUUUUGCGAGAAGGACAACCCCGGCCUGACGUGCUGCCCUGGUCUCUUAUGCUCGUGUGGACUGUACGACUACUGUAGAUGCUCCGACCCCACAGAAAUUAUGUAACAGCAUGAUCGCAACUGAACUGUAAAUGGGGUGGUAAAGCAAAAAUGCAAUGAGCGAAUGCUUAAUUUUUAUUCUCAAAAA